UACGGAGGGUGCAAGCGUUGUUCGGAUUUACUGGGCGUAAAGCGCGCGCAGGUGGUUGAACAAGUCGGAAGUGAAAUCUUGAGGCUCAACCUCGAGGCUGCUCCCGAAACUGUUCGCCUAGGGACUGGUAGAGGCUGGUAGAAUUCCCGGUGUAGCGGUGGAAUGCGUAGAGAUCGGGAAGAAUACCCGUGGCGAAGGCGGCCAGCUGGGCCAGGUCCGACACUGAGGCGCGAAAGCGUGGGGAGCAAACAGG
rnacentral:rRNA from 1 species